CCUACGGGGGGCUGCAGUAAGGAAUUUUCGUCAAUGGGCGCAAGCCUGAACGAGCAACGCCGCGUGGAGGAUGACGGCCUUCGGGUUGUAAACUCCUUUUCCGGGGGAUGAUUGUGACCGUACCCUGGGAAUAAGGCUCGGCUAACUCUGUGCCAGCAGCCGCGGUAAGACAGAGGAGCCAAGCGUUGUCCGGAUUGACUGGGCGUAAAGCGCACGCAGGCGGUACGGCACGUGGGGUGUGAAAGCGGCCCGCUUAACGGGUCGAGGCCAUCCCAUACGGCCAUACUCGAGAGUGGCAGAGGUUCGUGGAAUUGCCGGUGUAGUGGUGAAAUGCGUAGAGAUCGGCAGGAACACCAAGGGGGAAACCAGCGAACUGGGCCAUGUCUGACGCUCAGGUGCGAAAGCGUGGGGAGCGAACCGGCUUAGAUACCCCUGUAGUC
rnacentral:rRNA from 1 species